rnacentral:rRNA from 1 species
UACGUAGGGUGCAAGCGUUAAUCGGAAUUACUGGGCGUAAAGCGUGCGCAGGCGGUUUUGUAAGUCUGUCGUGAAAUCCCCGGGCUCAACCUGGGAACUGCAUUUGUGACUGCAUGGCUAGAGUACGGCAGAGGGGGAUGGAAUUCCGCGUGUAGCAGUGAAAUGCAUAGAUAUGCGGAGGAACACCGAUGGCGAAGGCAAUCCCCUGGGCCUGUACUGACGCUCAUGCACGAAAGCGUGGGGAGCGAAACAAGG